rnacentral:lncRNA from 1 species
GAUCCCUGUUACUGUGCGUCUCCUCCCAAGGCAGCUCAGUGUCAUCACAGCAUCUCAGUGUGCUGAUCACCGGCAGAGCAGGGCAAGCGCCAAGCACUGACAACACGCUGGAGGCUGUGGGCAGCUCCUCUCCACUCUCCCACCCCAGCAGGCUGAGAUGUUUAUAAACGAGCCCUACAACCUAAAACCGGUGGUGAAGAAUCACUUUCCUGCUGCAGCUGCCGCUGAACCGCAGGGAGCUUCCAGGACUCCCCUCGGUUCUGAUCUUUUCUUUCCCCUCCCUGAGCCUCCCUCUGCCUGCCGUGGUUGUUGCUUUCCUGGGCUCCUGGGGCUCUUUGGACCACACUGAGGCUGGUUUCUCUGCAGGAGGGACCCUGGCUGGAGCCCCUCGCUGAGCUCACACCGGGCUCUCAAGAGGUAUGCGCCCUCCUGCCUGCUCACCUCUGCCCCACUGUCCACACUACCUGCAGGGGUCUCUUCUCCUGCUGCCCACCUCUGGCCAGCCCCUUCCUCCGGGGCUGCUCCCUGGUCACUUAUCUGCAUUUCCUCCCACCUCCCCAGAACAGCUGCCCUCCCCACUCAGUCUCCAUCCAAGCCCCAACACCAGUAUUCCCAAUGACCCCAGCCAGCUGCUCUCCACUGCUACCAGUGCCCCCACAGGGAUGGCGAGUCUCUGGAAGAAAGUGGUGGCUCAACACGUCAAUUUCUCACUCCUGAUGAUUGUUCCACUUCCUGGCCCAGCUCUAUGGGAUUAUUUGAAGCCCCAGUCAUUGGACCUGCAGGAUUCCCUGACCGGAGAUUCUCUUCCCAAGCGGGACAUACGUGGGUUCCUGCACCCCAUGGGUUCUCUUCUACAAUACGAUUGCAUGCCACUUAUUUGGAACAUAAAUAUUUCCCCAUCUUCUGGCCUGCCUGAAGUAUUUUGGCUUAAAAAUGAUGGUAGAAUGCAGAAGAUUGUAAUAAAGCAACAAUCUCAUAGAAGAACAUGUUCAGAAGUAUCUGGAGUAAAAUGGAGAUUUGCUUAA